UACGUAGGGUGCGAGCGUUAAUCGGAAUUACUGGGCGUAAAGAGCGUGUAGGCGGUCCGGUAAGUCAGCUGUGAAAGUCAAGGGCUCAACCCUUGAAUGCCGGUUGAUACUGUCGGGCUAGAGUCCGGAAGAGGCGAGUGGAAUUCCCGGUGUAGCGGUGAAAUGCGCAGAUAUCGGGAGGAACACCAAUGGCGAAGGCAGCUCGCUGGGACGGUACUGACGCUGAGACGCGAAAGCGUGGGGAGCAAACAGG
rnacentral:rRNA from 1 species